UACGAGGGGUGCAAGCGUUGCUCGGAAUUAUUGGGCGUAAAGGGUAGGUAGGUGGUCUCAUUUGUCUGUGGUGAAAGCCUUGGGCUUAACUCAAGAAGUGCCGCAGAAACGGUGAGACUGGAGUCCUGGAGAGGGUCGUGGAAUUCCCGGUGUAGCGGUGAAAUGCGUAGAGAUCGGGAGGAACACCAGAGGCGAAGGCGGCUUCUUGGCCUGUUCUUGACGCUGAGGCGCGAAAGCUGGGGGAGCAAACGGG
rnacentral:rRNA from 1 species